rnacentral:rRNA from 1 species
CACGUAGGGGGCAAGCGUUGUCCGGAUUUAUUGGCCGUAAAGAGCGUGUAGGCGGCCAGAAAAGUCCGCUGUGAAAACUCGAGGCUCAACUUCGAGCUGUCGGUGGAAACUUUCUGGCUAGAGUCCGGAAGAGGAGAAUGGAAUUCCUGGUGUAGCGGUGAAAUGCGCAGAUAUCAGGAAGAACACCCGUGGCGAAGGCGGUUCUCUGGGACGGUACUGAUGCUGAGACGCGAAAGCGUGGGGAGCGAACAGG